GGAGAUGACCCGAACGGUCAGGAGCUUCCCUGCUAAGGAAGUAUGAGGUAACACUCUAGUGGGUUCGAAUCCCAUCAUCUCCGC
rnacentral:tRNA from 1 species